AGUUAUCGUUUAUUUGAUAGUACCUUACUACAUGGAUAACCGUGGUAAUUCUAGAGCUAAUACAUGCUGAAAAUCCCGACUUCGGAAGGGAUGUAUUUAUUAGAUUAAAAACCAAUGCCCUUCGGGGCUCUCUGGUGAUUCAUAAUAACUUCUCGAAUCGCACGGCCUUGCGCCGGCGAUGGUUCAUUCAAAUUUCUGCCCUAUCAACUUUCGACGGCUGGGUCUUGGCCAGCCGUGGUGACAACGGGUAACGGAGGGUUAGGGCUCGACCCCGGAGAAGGAGCCUGAGAAACGGCUACUACAUCCAAGGAAGGCAGCAGGCGCGCAAAUUACCCAAUCCCGACACGGGGAGGUAGUGACAAUAAAUACUGAUACAGGGCUCUUUCGGGUCUUGUAAUUGGAAUGAGUACAAUUUAAAUCCCUUAACGAGGAACAAUUGGAGGGCAAGUCUGGUGCCAGCAGCCGCGGUAAUUCCAGCUCCAAUAGCGUAUAUUAAAGUUGUUGAGGUUAAAAAGCUCGUAGUUGAACCUUGGGCCUAGCCGGCCGGUCCGCCUCACCGCGUGCACUGGCUCGGCUGGGUCUUUCCUUCUGGAGAACCGCAUGCCCUUCACUGGGUGUGCCGGGGAACCAGGACUUUUUACUCUGAACAAAUUAGAUCGCUUAAAGAAGGCCUAUGCUCGAAUACAUUAGCAUGAAAUAAUAGAAUAGGACGUGUGGUUCUAUUUUGUUGGUUUCUAGGACC
rnacentral:rRNA from 1 species